AAUUCAGAAGCGAAGUAUUGCGUUAAGUUUCGGCCUUAAAAUUGAGAAAUAUCUCCUGAAUUU
rnacentral:tRNA from 1 species